CUUAAACCUUUGAGAAAAAGCCCAAACAGUCUGAGGCAUACAGAAUUUGUUCAAGUUCAGCUUGCUUCCCAGAACAUUCCUCUAUAGAAAAUACUGAAGAAAUUGGAAAUGACUGCUCAUUCUUAUACUAUCCCUCCCUGGAAGUCAGUUAUCGUCAACAGAAACCGUUUGGAACCCCACAAAAUAUAUGCAUCUAGGUUCGUUCAGCUUUUUCUUCAUGAGGACUGGAGGAACAUCUUACUUUCUACAUUCCAAACUCUACCAUCUCUGAGCAUCAGUGGAGGUGGAAUCUCUUUUCCGAAGAAGGAAUACAUUUUAAAUCAAGGGAAUCCUGCCUUAUCCAUAAACACAUAACUGUCCUUAUCUUAUCAGCCUGAAACAAGGGGAUUUUACUGAGACUUACUCUUCAUUCAAAAGUAGAGAUAGAGAUGUUAAAUAAGUAUUGUCACUCAUUUCAAGAAUCAAAGGACAACUUGGUAUCAAAUGAUUACACAUGAUAUCAAGGGAUGCUGAACAGGCAAGUUCCCAACACAGGACACUGAAGAAUUUGUAGCAAUGAGCACAAACUUGAAAGAAAGAUAUUCCUAAACUUUUUGAAAUUAGUCUUAAUAUUUGUUUAAAAAUAUAGUUAUGGGGGCAGUGAGGUUGCGUAGAGAAUAGAGCACCGGUCCUGAAGUCAGGAAGAUCUGAGUUCAAAUGUGGCCUCAGACCAAACACUUGACACUUACUGAAGCUGUGUGACCCUAGGCAAGUCACUUAAUCCCAAUUGACUAAAAUAUAUAUACAUGUAUAUAUACACACACACAUAUAUACAUAUAUACACACACACACAUAUAUACAUGUAUAUAUAUACAUAUAUAUAUAUACAGAGAGAGAGAGAGAGAGAGAGAGAGAGAGAGAGAGAGAGAGAGAGAGUUAUGCAAUGUCUAGACACUUUAUAAAGAUUCAAAAAUCAUAUAAAUUACUUUUAUGGGAAGGCAUUUCAGAACUAACUUCUGAUUAUAGAAAAAAAAACUUCAAAAAAAGAUCCUAUCUCACAUAUAAGAUUGAUUUACUUAAACUUCAGCUAGCCAAGUUUACACAGAAAUAUCCAAAUGAACAGGAAUGUGGGGCUCUAUUUAAUUCUAUGAUUUAACAUUGGCCUUCAGUCCAAACAAAGAUAAAUGCUCCCAGUUUUCUUUAUGAAAACUGAACAUAAAUCCCAGAAAAAAUGCUCCUAUUCUGCAGGGGGGGGGUAAAAUCCUAUCAUAAAAAUCAUAGCCGAGCUGAUACUAGGAAUUUCAGGAACUAGGAAUAAAGAACCCCAUCCUUGCUUCUCCCUUCUGGCU
rnacentral:lncRNA from 1 species